rnacentral:rRNA from 1 species
GACGAACGCUGGCGGCGUGCCUAACACAUGCAAGUCGAACGAAGUGGCGAACGGGUGAGUAACGCGUAAUCAACCUGCCCUUCAGAGGGGGACAACAGUUGGAAACGACUGCUAAUACAGCAUACUGAAGGAGGGGAUUGCGUCUGAUUAGCUAGUUGGAGGGGUAACGGCCCACCAAGGCGAUGAUCAGUAGCCGGUCUGAGCGGGUGACCGGCCACAUUGGGACGUGGACACGGCCCAGACUCCUACGGGCGGCAGCAGUGGGGAAUCUUCCGCAAUGGACGAAAGUCUUACGGAGCAACGCCGCGUGAGUGAUGACGGCCUUCGGGUUGUAAAGCUCUGUUAAUCGGGACGCGGUACCGGAAUAGAAAGCCACGGCUAACUACGUGCCAGCCGCCGCGGUAAUAC